rnacentral:lncRNA from 1 species
UGGAACUGCCAGCUGGGAAUGAUCUGGAACAUUUUACCUAUAUCACCUUGUGGUGGCAUAUGGGAUGUAUGAGAUAUUUUCUGAUAUUGUUGAUGGGAACCACGUGAAGAGCAAAAGAAAUGUUAGCCCAAAGGGAAGAGAGAAUGAAAGUAACACAUAUAAAAAGAGAAUAAAAACCACAAAGCCUAGAAACAGAAACUUCCCAGGAUGGACUGUCCUUACUCAGAGAACCAGGGCAGAUGAGAUAGUUGUAGUUUAUAAAUUCCAACAAGCAGGUCAAUAGAUGUGGGAGGAUGUGAAUAUCUUAGGAUCUUGAUGUGGAGAAGAUCUUGAUG